AUGGCUGUCCUGGUGCUGCUCCUCUGCCUGGUGAUAUUUCCAAGUUGUGUCUCUUCCCAGAUACAGCUGAAGGAGACAGGACCUGGCCUGGUGGAGCCUUCACAGACCCUGUCUCUCACCUGCACUGUCUCUGGAUUCUCGCUAAACAGCUAUCAUAUACACUGGGUUCGCCAGCCUCCAGGAAAGGGUCUGGAGUGGCUUGGAAUAAUGUGGGCUGGUGGAAGCGCAGAGUACAAUUCAGCUCUCCAGUCCCGAAUCACCAUCAGCAUGGACACCUCCAAAAAUGAAGUCUUCUUAAAAUUGAACAGUGUGCACACUGAAGACACAGCCAUAUAUUACUGUGCCAGAAACACAGUGAAAAAAUUCCAGUUUGAGCCUACACAAAAAACACAACUUAUAGAGACAUCUGGGACCAGCAGAUGGCAUUAA